CGCGGCCUAUCAGCUUGUUGGUGAGGUAACGGCUCACCAAGGCUUCGACGGGUAGCCGGCCUGAGAGGGCGACCGGCCACACUGGGACUGAGAUACGGCCCAGACUCCUACGGGAGGCAGCAGUGGGGAAUAUUGCACAAUGGGCGAAAGCCUGAUGCAGCAACGCCGCGUGCGGGAUGACGGCCUUCGGGUUGUAAACCGCUUUCAGCUCCGACGAAGCGCAAGUGACGGUAGGAGCAGAAGAAGGACCGGCCAACUACGUGCCAGCAGCCGCGGUGAUACGUAGGGUCCGAGCGUUGUCCGGAAUUAUUGGGCGUAAAGGGCUUGUAGGCGGUUUGUCGCGUCGGAAGUGAAAACUCAGGGCUUAACCCUGAGCCUGCUUCCGAUACGGGCAAACUAGAGGAAUGCAGGGGAGAAUGGAAUUCCUGGUGGAGCGGUGGAAUGCGCAGAUAUCAGGAGGAACACCAGUGGCGAAGGCGGUUCUCUGGGCAUUUCCUGACGCUGAGAAGCGAAAGCGUAGGGAGCAAACAGGCUUAGAUACCCUGGUGGUCCACGCCGUAAACGGUGGGCACUAGGUGUGGGACUCAUUCCACGAGUUCCGUGCCGUAGCUAACUCAUUAAGUGCCCCGCCUGGGGAGUACGG
rnacentral:rRNA from 1 species